UGCUGAGAUAGAGAAGUUCCUUCACACCCAUCCCAACGUACAGGAGGCCCAGGUGAGAACCAUCCCAACGUACAGGAGGCCCAGGUGAGAACAUCUACCCUGCUGAGAUAGAGAAGUUCCUUCACACCCAUCCCAACGUACAGGAGGCCCAGGUGAGAACCAUCCCAACGUACAGGAGGCCCAGGUGAGAACCAUCCCAACGUACAGGAGGCCCAGGUGAGAACCACACCCAUCCCAACGUACAGGAGGCCCAGGUGAGAACCAUCCCCAUCCCAACGUACAGGAGGCCCAGGUGAGAACCAUCCCAACGUACAGGAGGCCCAGGUGAGAACCAUCCCAACGUACAGGAGGCCCAGGUGAGAACCAUCCCAACGUACAGGAGGCCCAGGUGAGAACCAUCCCAACGUACAGGAGGCCCAGGUGAGAACCAUCCCAACGUACAGGAGGCCCAGGUGAGAACCAUCCCAACGUACAGGAGGCCCAGGUGAGAACCAUUCCAACGUACAGGAGGCCCAGGUGAGAACCACACCCAUCCCAACGUACAGGAGGCCCAGGAGAGAACCAUCCCAACGUACAGGAGGCCCAGGUGAGAACCACACCCAUCCCAACGUACAGGAGGCCCAGGUGAGAACCACACCCAUCCCAACGUACAGGAGACCCAGGUGAGAACCAUCCCAACGUACAGGAGGCCCAGGUGAGAACCAUCCCAACGUACAGGAGGCCCAGGUGUUCAUAUUCUCUCCCUGUCCUGUCCACCUCUCUUUCUCCCCAGGUGAUUAUAUUCUCUCCCUGUCCUGUCCACCUCUCUUUCUCCCCAGGUGAUUGGCGUGAGAGAUGAGAGGUUGGGGGAACAGGUGUGUGCCUGUAUCAGACUGAAGGAGGGACAGGACUGUAGCAGAGAGGAGAUCAGAGACUUCUGCAAGGGACAGAUUUCUCACUUCCAGAUCCCCCACUAUGUGGUGUUUGUGGACAGCUAUCCACUGACUGCCUCUGGAAAGAUCCAGAAGAAUAAACUGAGGGAGGAGAUGGAGAAGAAGCUGGGUCUGUAAUGGACAGAGGGACCUAGACAGACUGGGCUAAUAGCAACCCACAUUGAGCACCGUUUACAUCCGAGGUGAUCUCUUGUUAAACCGUCAAUACGCACAAAGAUCAUCCGCACAGUGAAUCUGAAUUACAACCACUGACAUUUAGUUGCUGCCAACAUUUUCAUUUUUUACUAUUCUGUCCUCUGGUGGGUAAUAUCUUCAGAUGAAUCACUUAACUAUUUUACAAUCAUUUUGUUCAAAUGAAAUGAGGCAUUUCCUUGUUUACCACAGAGAAUCUACUGUGGCAAUUGACCCUCCACAUGUUAUGAAUGGAAAGGUCAUGUUGGUGUACUUACAAUGUAUGUAAUCCAUUAAUGAGUAAUCCAUCCAUUAAUGAGUAAUCCAUCCAUUAAUGAGUAAUCCAUCCAUUAAUGAGUAAUCCAUCCAUUAAUGAGUAAUCCAUCCAUGAAUAUAAUCCAUUAAUAAUCUGUUUUCAUUAAGGACUAUGUGUCUGCUUUAAGGGUUGAGUUAAUAUAAUCUGUUUUCAUUAAGGACUAUGUGUCUGCUUUAAGGGUUGAGUUAAUAUAAUCUGUUUUCAUUAAGGACUAUGUGUCUGCUUUAAGGGUUGAGUUACUAUAAUCUGUUUUCAUUAAGGACUAUGUGUCUGCUUUAAGGGUUGAGUUAAUAUAAUCUGUUUUCAUUAAGGACUAUGUGUCUGCUUUAAGGGUUGAGUUACUAUAAUCUGUUUUCAUUAAGGACUAUGUGUCUGCUGUAAGGGUUGAGUUAAUAUAAUCUGUUUUCAUUAAGGACUAUGUGUCUGCUUUAAGGGUUGAGUUAAUAUAAUCUGUUUUCAUUAAGGACUAUGUGUCUGCUUUAAGGGUUGAGUUACUAUAAUCUGUUUUCAUUAAGGACUAUGUGUCUGCUUUA